UUAAAGCGGUACGCGAGCUGGGUUCAGAACGUCGUGAGACAGUUCGGUCCCUAUCCGUCGUGGGCGUAGGAAAUUUGAGAGGAGCUGUCCUUAGUACGAGAGGACCGGGAUGGACAUACCUCUGGUGUACCAGUUGUCGUGCCAACGGCAUAGCUGGGUAGCUAUGUAUGGACGGGAUAAGUGCUGAAAGCAUCUAAGCAUGAAGCCCCCCUCAAGAUGAGAUUUCCCAACUUCGGUUAUAAGAUCCCUCGAAGAUGACGAGGUUAAUAGGUUCGAGGUGGAAGCGUGGUGACACGUGGAGCUGACGAAUACUAAUCGAUCGAAGACUUAAUCAA
rnacentral:rRNA from 2 species